rnacentral:rRNA from 1 species
AGAGUUUGAUCCUGGCUCAGGAUGAACGCUGGCGGCGUGCUUAACACAUGCAAGUCGAACGAUGACUUUUGUGCUUGCACAAAAUGAUUAGUGGCGAACGGGUGAGUAACACGUGAGUAACCUGCCCUUAACUUCGGGAUAAGCCUGGGAAACCGGGUCUAAUACCGGAUACGACGGACCGCCGCAUGGUGGUCCGUGGAAAGCUUUAUGCGGUUUUGGAUGGACUCGCGGCCUAUCAGCUAGUUGGUUGGGGUAACGGCCCACCAAGGCGACGACGGGUAGCCGGCCUGAGAGGGUGACCGGCCACACUGGGACUGAGACACGGCCCAGACUCCUACGGGAGGCAGCAGUGGGGAAUAUUGCACAAUGGGCGAAAGCCUGAUGCAGCGACGCCGCGUGAGGGACGAAGGCCUUCGGGUUGUAAACCUCUUUCAGCAGGGAAGAAGCGAAAGUGACGGUACCUGCAGAAGAAGCGCCGGCUAACUACGUGCCAGCAGCCGCGGUAAUACGUAGGGCGCAAGCGUUAUCCGGAAUUAUUGGGCGUAAAGAGCUCGUAGGCGGUUUGUCGCGUCUGCUGUGAAAGCCCGGGGCUCAACCCCGGGUCUGCAGUGGGUACGGGCAGACUAGAGUGCAGUAGGGGAGACUGGAAUUCCUGGUGUAGCGGUGAAAUGCGCAGAUAUCAGGAGGAACACCGAUGGCGAAGGCAGGUCUCUGGGCUGUAACUGACGCUGAGGAGCGAAAGCAUGGGGAGCGAACAGGAUUAGAUACCCUGGUAGUCCACGCUGUAAACGAUGAUGACUAACCGUCGGCGAUACACAGUCGGUGGCCAAGCGAAAGCGAUAAGUCAUCCACCUGGGGAGUACGACCGCAAGGUUGAAACUCAAAGGAAUUGACGGGGGCCCGCACAAGCGGAGGAACAUGUGGUUUAAUUCGAUGAUACGCGAGGAACCUUACCCGGGCUCGAACGGCAGCUGAAUCAUUCAGAGAUGGAUGAGUCUUCGGACAGUUGUCGAGGUGCUGCAUGGUUGUCGUCAGCUCGUGCCGUGAGGUGUCGGCUUAAGUGCCAUAACGAGCGCAACCCUUUUCGGUAUUUACCAUCAUUAAGUUGGGGACUCUACCGAUACUGCCAUCGCAAGAUGAGAGGAAGGAUGGGAUGACGUCAAAUCAGCACGGCCCUUACGUCCGGGGCGACACACGUGUUACAAUGGGUAGGACAGCGGGUUACGACAUGGUGACAUGAAGUUAAUCCCAAAACCUGCUCCCAGUUCGGAUUGGAGUCUGCAACUCGACUCCAUGAAGUUGGAGUCGCUAGUAAUCGCAGAUCAGCAACGCUGCGGUGAAUACGUUCCCGGGCCUUGCACACACCGCCCGUCAAG